AGGAAUAAAAAGAAUCCCACUUUGGCCCAAAAUGAGGAGAGCCCAUUUCACUCAGAGGGUUGUGAACCUCUUGAAUUUUCUAUCCCAAGUCACUCAGUCAAAAUGGCGGCGGAGUAGGAUGCUCCAACCACAGCUCCUUCUGUUUUUUUCUCUUUUCUCUUGUUUGGUCUUUUGGCCUGGUCUCCCAAUGGCUUAUGACUGGUCCUGGUCUUGUCUCUUGGCAGCUCAUAGCGUCUCUCGGUUAGUCCCGGCAUGGUCUCUCGGUGGCUCUCGGUUAGUCCCGGCCUGGUCUCCAGGCGGCUCUCGAUUAGUCCUGGCCUGGUCUCUCGGCAGCUCUCGUUAGUCCCGGCCUGGUCUCUUGGUAGUCCCAGCCUGGUCUCCCAGCAUCUCUCAGUUAGUCCCAGCCUGGUCUCUUGACGGCUCUCGGUUAGUCCCGGCCUGGCCUCUUGGAGUCUCUCGGUUAGUCCCAGCCUGGACUCUUGGUGUCUCUCA